rnacentral:rRNA from 1 species
AGAGUUUGAUCCUGGCUCAGAUUGAACGCUGGCGGCAUGCUUUACACAUGCAAGUCGAGCGGCAGCGCGGGGGCAACCCUGGCGGCGAGCGGCGAACGGGUGAGUAAUGCAUCGGAACGUACCCUGGAGUGGGGGAUAACGCCGCGAAAGCGGCGCUAAUACCGCAUAUGCUCUGAGGAGGAAAGUGGGGGACCGCAAGGCCUCACGCUCUGGGAGCGGCCGAUGUCCGAUUAGCUAGUUGGUGGGGUAAAGGCUUACCAAGGCGACGAUCGGUAGCUGGUCUGAGAGGAUGAUCAGCCACACUGGGACUGAGACACGGCCCAGACUCCUACGGGAGGCAGCAGUGGGGAAUUUUGGACAAUGGGGCAACCCUGAUCCAGCCAUGCCGCGUGAGUGAAGAAGGCCUUCGGGUUGUAAAGCUCUUUUGGUCGGGAAGAAAGCGCCUUGCCUAAUACGCGAGGUGGUUGACGGUACCGGCAGAAUAAGCACCGGCUAACUACGUG